GUCUACGGCAAUAACACCCUGAACGUGCCUGAUCUCAUCUGAUCUCCUAAGCUAAGCAGGGUUAGGCCUGGUUAGUACUUGGAUGGGAGACUACACCGCGAAGCUCCCAGAUUGGGAACA
rnacentral:rRNA from 1 species